GAUGAACGCUGGCGGCGUGCCUAAUACAUGCAAGUCGAGCGAACAGAUGAGGAGCUUGCUCCUCUGACGUUAGCGGCGGACGGGUGAGUAACACGUGGAUAACCUACCUAUAAGACUGGGAUAACUUCGGGAAACCGGAGCUAAUACCGGAUAAUAUAUUGAACCGCAUGGUUCAAUAGUGAAAGACGGUUUUGCUGUCACUUAUAGAUGGAUCCGCGCCGCAUUAGCUAGUUGGUAAGGUAACGGCUUACCAAGGCAUCGAUGCGUAGCCGACCUGAGAGGGUGAUCGGCCACACUGGAACUGAGACACGGUCCAGACUCCUACGGGAGGCAGCAGUAGGGAAUCUUCCGCAAUGGGCGAAAGCUUGACGGAGCAACGCCGCGUGAGUGAUGAAGGUCUUCGGAUCGUAAAACUCUGUUAUUAGGGAAGAACAAAUGUGUAAGUAACUAUGCACGUCUUGACGGUACCUAAUCAGAAAGCCACGGCUAACUACGUG
rnacentral:rRNA from 1 species